GGGUUGUGAGGUUAAGCGACUAAGCGUACACGGUGGAUGCCCUGGCAGUCAGAGGCGAUGAAGGACGUGCUAAUCUGCGAUAAGCGUCGGUAAGGUGAUAUGAACCGUUAUAACCGGCGAUUUCCGAAUGGGGAAACCCAGUGUGUUUCGACACACUAUCAUUAACUGAAUCCAUAGGUUAAUGAGGCGAACCGGGGGAACUGAAACAUCUAAGUACCCCGAGGAAAAGAAAUCAACCGAGAUUCCCCCAGUAGCGGCGAGCGAACGGGGAGCAGCCCAGAGCCUGAAUCAGUGUGUGUGUUAGUGGAAGCGUCUGGAAAGGCGCGCGAUACAGGGUGACAGCCCCGUACACAAAAAUGCACAUGCUGUGAGCUCGAUGAGUAGGGCGGGACACGUGGUAUCCUGUCUGAAUAUGGGGGGACCAUCCUCCAAGGCUAAAUACUCCUGACUGACCGAUAGUGAACCAGUACCGUGAGGGAAAGGCGAAAAGAACCCCGGCGAGGGGAGUGAAAAAGAACCUGAAACCGUGUACGUACAAGCAGUGGGAGCACGCUUAGGCGUGUGACUGCGUACCUUUUGUAUAAUGGGUCAGCGACUUAUAUUCUGUAGCAAGGUUAACCGAAUAGGGGAGCCGAAGGGAAACCGAGUCUUAACUGGGCGUUAAGUUGCAGGGUAUAGACCCGAAACCCGGUGAUCUAGCCAUGGGCAGGUUGAAGGUUGGGUAACACUAACUGGAGGACCGAACCGACUAAUGUUGAAAAAUUAGCGGAUGACUUGUGGCUGGGGGUGAAAGGCCAAUCAAACCGGGAGAUAGCUGGUUCUCCCCGAAAGCUAUUUAGGUAGCGCCUCGUGAAUUCAUCUCCGGGGGUAGAGCACUGUUUCGGCAAGGGGGUCAUCCCGACUUACCAACCCGAUGCAAACUGCGAAUACCGGAGAAUGUUAUCACGGGAGACACACGGCGGGUGCUAACGUCCGUCGUGAAGAGGGAAACAACCCAGACCGCCAGCUAAGGUCCCAAAGUCAUGGUUAAGUGGGAAACGAUGUGGGAAGGCCCAGACAGCCAGGAUGUUGGCUUAGAAGCAGCCAUCAUUUAAAGAAAGCGUAAUAGCUCACUGGUCGAGUCGGCCUGCGCGGAAGAUGUAACGGGGCUAAACCAUGCACCGAAGCUGCGGCAGCGACGCUUAUGCGUUGUUGGGUAGGGGAGCGUUCUGUAAGCCUGUGAAGGUGUGCUGUGAGGCAUGCUGGAGGUAUCAGAAGUGCGAAUGCUGACAUAAGUAACGAUAAAGCGGGUGAAAAGCCCGCUCGCCGGAAGACCAAGGGUUCCUGUCCAACGUUAAUCGGGGCAGGGUGAGUCGACCCCUAAGGCGAGGCCGAAAGGCGUAGUCGAUGGGAAACAGGUUAAUAUUCCUGUACUUGGUGUUACUGCGAAGGGGGGACGGAGAAGGCUAUGUUGGCCGGGCGACGGUUGUCCCGGUUUAAGCGUGUAGGCUGGUUUUCCAGGCAAAUCCGGAAAAUCAAGGCUGAGGCGUGAUGACGAGGCACUACGGUGCUGAAGCAACAAAUGCCCUGCUUCCAGGAAAAGCCUCUAAGCAUCAGGUAACAUCAAAUCGUACCCCAAACCGACACAGGUGGUCAGGUAGAGAAUACCAAGGCGCUUGAGAGAACUCGGGUGAAGGAACUAGGCAAAAUGGUGCCGUAACUUCGGGAGAAGGCACGCUGAUAUGUAGGUGAAGUCCCUCGCGGAUGGAGCUGAAAUCAGUCGAAGAUACCAGCUGGCUGCAACUGUUUAUUAAAAACACAGCACUGUGCAAACACGAAAGUGGACGUAUACGGUGUGACGCCUGCCCGGUGCCGGAAGGUUAAUUGAUGGGGUUAGC
rnacentral:rRNA from 2 species